rnacentral:rRNA from 1 species
AUACGGAGGGGGCUAGCGUUGUUCGGAAUUACUGGGCGUAAAGCGCGCGUAGGCGGGCUGGUAAGUUGGGGGUGAAAUCCCAGGGCUCAACCCUGGAACUGCCCUCAAUACUGCCAGUCUUGAGUUCGAGAGAGGUAAGUGGAAUUCCUAGUGUAGCGGUGAAAUGCGUAGAUAUUAGGAGGAAUACCAGUGGCGAAGGCGGCCCCCUGGACCAAUACUGACGCUGAGGUACGAAAGCGUGGGUAGCAAACAGGAUUAGAUACCCUAGUAGUCC